CCCGCCGUUUGCAUUUUUGUGAAAGGUUUCCUCGUCUGACUACAUGCUGACUAAAUACAAGCUCAGCUUGUUUCCAUGUAAGCUCGCUGGGUCAUUCAGCCCCUCUGCUGCCCACAGUGACCCUCCCCAGCUCUGCCAUUACAAUCUGGGAAGGACAGCCACAGCCUUGAGACAGCGGCAAGCUUUGCUGAUUUGAUCACAUCAGCCCGUAGCUGCUCCAGCCAACGUACCCGUAAAGAAUUUUGAAUGGAGGCGCGGACCCCUUUGGGAAGUUCGAACAAGUGUGGACCCCUUUGAAUUGCAAGUUCGACAGCCUGUGAAGAUGCAGCACCAUUGAGAAGACACAGUUGUAAAGGGAAUUGGAAUAAGAACAGAAAACCCUUCUUGGACAUGAAGAUGCAGCUUGCUUUGAUUCCCAUACAGCAGGGACAGGCUGAUAACAGGAGCCGGAUGUGUGUUUUAAGGAGGCAAGAGGCAAACUAAUGAGACUAGAACUCCAGCACCCUCUGGUGAUGAAAUUAAGACAUCAAAAAACCCAGCAUACAAACCAACCAACCCACACAACAAAGCCUGUGCUAAUAGCUUUGCUGGUGAAUGCGCGCAGCUAUGUAACUGCAUUGCUAUGCAACUUUCGAGUAAGAAGCCAGCAGCAUUAUAAUAUGUCAGAAUACAAAGGCAGUAAUCUUGCGGUUAAGGCACUGGGCAAGAACACAAAAGAUCCAACUGAAUUCAGUGUCUGGGUGUGCCCAUGUCUUCCUGUAUCCGCAGGCAAGUCACUUAGAGCUUGAAUCUCAAAGUACCUGCAGGCUCCAUGCAGAACAGCUGGAGUUUUGCACGCUUUGUAGUUCUGCAAAGCAGGCCCUUCUGUGUAUUGUGUCUAUUCACAGAUCCCCCAUGUGUAAAAUGGGGAUUAUAACACUUCCUUUUUCUGACCGUUUGUGUAUCUUCCUGUUGCGCUUCUUCCUCUUUACACAAUAAUGAUAGUAGGUAUAAGCCACAGGGCAUGGUGGAGCUCAAAUAACUGAGUUUUCUGCGUAUAAACAGCAUGGUAGGACCAGUCACAAACACAAAUUGCUGCCACGGUCAGCUUCUAAAAAACACACACAAUGAGUGCUGCUAGAGGGUGUGCAAAUUCUUGAGAGCGAUACAACCUCAUGUGUGCAAAAUGCACAGUGACAGAGCAGUUAAAGUAUCUUGCCCCAAUUGCAGAGGUGAGUUUGAAGGCCAAAAGGCUCACACCACACAACCCAGCUGUACACCUGGUCAUUUGGAAAGGACAGUCCAAAGUAGCCAGACAUGAUGUUAACCCACAUCGCUCCCUUAUGUGCUUUUGGCUAUAGAAAUUGGUGUGUCCUAACUGUACUAGCCCGAUGGCUUGCUAGGCUUUGGCUCUGACACAAUUCCUGCAUGCAACACUUGCUCAUCUAUUUGGAUUUGAGCAUUUUGGUUCAAGGCCUGCUCUCUGCUCAUGCACCUGAGCUCAAGUACUGUGAGACUCAAACCUUCAAUGAGAGGAAG